AGCGUUGGCCGGGCUCACCGGCCCGGCGCGGGGUUUGGGGGCGCCGAGAGUGCAGGGGGAGCAGGCAGUGGCGUCAGUACAGAGGCCACAGCAGGGUGUCGGAGCUGGGUGCUCCGGACGGGGUCUGCCACUAGGCGAAGGGGCGGCGUGCUGCUCUGGCCUCGAGCUUCCCACGGAACUCUGUCCUGUUUCCUUGAGUGAACACUGGGGACACAGCAGCUGCUUUUGUGGGAGGACUAAUCUAAGACACGGCGUGGGGCGGGCCUGGCACAUGGCACAGCCAGGCGUCAUUCCGCCCUCAGGAGCCCCAGCGCUGAGAAAGAAUCCUGUCAGGUGUGACCUCAGCAUUCAUGUGUGUACAUGGACCACAGCCACAUCCUUCCUGGUUCCCAUGGAGGCAGGGCGAUGGGCCUGCCAGGGCUGACCCCUGCCAGGGUGUUGCCCCGCUUGAAGCUGUGGGUGGGGCUGGGCUCAGGGAGCAA
ensembl:lncRNA